rnacentral:rRNA from 1 species
CCUACGGGAGGCAGCAGUGGGGAAUAUUGCACAAUGGGGGAAACCCUGAUGCAGCGACGCCGCGUGAGUGAAGAAGUAUCUCGGUACGUAAAGCUCUAUCAGCAGGGAAGAAAAUGACGGUACCUGACUAAGAAGCCCCGGCUAACUACGGGCCAGCAGCCGCGGUAAUACGUAGGGGGCAAGCGUUAUCCGGAUUUACUGGGUGUAAAGGGAGCGUAGACGGCAGCACAAGUCUGGAGUGAAAUCCCGGGGCUUAACCCCGGAACUGCUUUGGAAACUGUGCGGCUGGAGUGCAGGAGGGGUAAGCGGACUUCCUAGUGUAGCGGUGAAAUGCGUAGAUAUUAGGAGGAACCCCGGUGGCGCAGGCGGCUUACUGGACUGUAACUGACGUUGAGGCUCGAACGCGUGGGGAGCAAACAGGAUUAGAUACCCGGGUAGUC